rnacentral:lncRNA from 1 species
CUGUAAGUACUUUUUCCAUUCAUCAUUUUCUUAAUCUUCUUAAUUAAACAUGAUCAUAUAUAGAUGAUAGUUAGCGUACUUAUUUUAUAAUUGAUGUAUCUAGUUUGUAUAUAUUAAAGACAGACACAUCAUACAUUAGAUAUUCAAUAAAUCUAAAAAAUAUAUUUGCGGCCAUUUUAAGUGGCAGAGUGGCCUUAUUAGUAUUUAUUGAAAUUCAGCUCUUGUUGCUUUUGAUUCGUUAUGUCUAAUACAAAGACCAUUUUAAGCGGCAUAGUGGCCUUGUCAGGAUUUAUUGAAAUUCAGUUUUUGUCGCUUUGAUUCGUUAUGUCUGUCUGAUACAAAAACUAAUGAAUUGUUUUGAUGCGUGGAUAUAUAUAGUCGAGUGAAGAGGAAGAUGAAAACGGUGAGAAGAGGAAAAAGAAGAAGAAGGAAAAGAAGGAGAAGAAAGAGGACACAUCAGUGCCAGUUGAGAAAGUUGAGGUUGUUGAUGGAACAACAGUAGGUACUGAGGAGAAGAAAGGUUUCCUUGAAAAAAUUAAGGAUAAGCUUCCAGGACACAAGAAAACAGAGGAUGUAACAACUCCUCCACCACCUGUGGUUGCUCCUGUUCCAACAGAGACAACAACAACUAGUCAUGAUCAAGGUGAGAAGAAGGGUAUUUUGGAGAAGAUCAAAGAGAAGAUUCCUGGUUAUCAUGCUAAGGCUAC